rnacentral:RNase_P_RNA from 1 species
GCGGAGGGCUGGAUGGCCGCGGGCGGGGCAACCCGUCCGAGGAAAGUCCGGACUCCCUAAAGCAACGGUGCCGGGUAACACCCGGGCGGGGCAACCCGACGGACAGCGCCGCAGAAAUGAAACCGCCUUUCCCCGGAAAGGUAAGGAUGAAACGGUGGGGUAAGAGCCCACCGCACCGCUGGCAACAGGGGUGGCACGGCAAGCCCCACCGGGAGCAAUGCCAAAUAGGACCCUUGCGCGGGCUGGUCGGGCAACCGAUACCGCCGCAGGCCGCUUUAGCCGGAAGGGUCGGGUUGGCAGCUAGAGGUGCCGUGGCAACACGGCAUCAAGAGGAAUGGUCAUCCAUCCGCGUUCGCGCGGGGGACAGAAUCCGGCUUACAGGCUCUCCGCGCGU